rnacentral:rRNA from 1 species
CACUCUAAGGUGACUGCCGGCUAAAAGUCGGAGGAAGGUGGGAUGACGUCAAAUCAUCAUGCCCCUUAUGACCUGGGCUACACACGUGCUACAAUGGGCGGUACAAAGGGUCGCGAACCCGCAGGGGGAGCCAAUCCCAAAAAAGCCGCUCUCAGUUCGGAUUGCAGGCUGCAACUCGCCUGCAUGAAGCCGGAAUCGCUAGUAAUCGCGGAUCCAGCAUGCCGCGGUGAAUACGUUCCCGGGCCUU